rnacentral:rRNA from 1 species
UGGGGAAUUUUGGACAAUGGGCGAAAGCCUGAUCCAGCCAUGCCGCGUGAGUGAAGAAGGCCUUCGGGUUGUAAAGCUCUUUUAGUCGGAAAGAAAGAGUUGCAAUGAAUAAUUGUGAUUUAUGACGGUACCGACAGAAAAAGCACCGUCUAACUACGUGCCAGCAGCCGCGGUAAUACGUAGGGUGCGAGCGUUAAUCGGAAUUACUUGGCGUAAAGGGUGCGCAGGCGGUUUUGAAAGUCAGAUGUGAAAGCCCAGGGCUUAACCUGGGAAUUGCGUUUGAAACUACAAGGCUAGAGUGCAGCAGAGGGGAGUGGAAUUCCAUGUGUAGCAGUGAAAUGCGUAGAGAUGUGGAAGAACACCGAUGGCGAAGGCAGCUCCCUGGGCUGACACUGACGCUCAUGCACGAAAGCGUGGGGAGCAAACA